rnacentral:rRNA from 1 species
CAGUCGCCGCGGUAAUACGAAGGGUGCAAGCGUUACUCGGAAUUACUGGGCGUAAAGCGUGCGUAGGUGGUGGUUUAAGUCCGUUGUGAAAGCCCUGGGCUCAACCUGGGAAUUGCAGUGGAUACUGGGUCACUAGAGUGUGGUAGAGGAUAGUGGAAUUUCCGGUGUAGCAGUGAAAUGCGUAGAGAUCGGAAGGAACAUCUGUGGCGAAGGCGACUAUCUGGGCCAACACUGACACUGAGGCACGAAAGUGUGGGGAGCAAACAGGAUUAGAUACCCCAGUAGUCCCUGUCUCUUAUAC